GAAACCGAUUUAAGACCGUCGUGUAAACGUAGUCAUUGAUGGGUUGAUUUAAAGCACCAAACAAGUGACGCAAUAUACAUUGCCUUUAGUAAUAAAACUGGAAAUUUAUUAUAUUUAUUUUAAUUAGGUAAAUGUUCCACGCUACAUUGUUAUGGAAAUGUAAUCUGGCGGUACCCAAAUAACAAAAUAAUAUUCUGAGAGCGGUUACAACAUUGUUUAGAGGAUAUCUGAAUAGGGUUGCGCAAAUAUAUUACGAAUAUUCGAGAUUCAGACAUUAAGUUGAUCAUUGUGUUUGUACUGGAAAUGAAUGUAAUGACAAAAUCAAAAAGGCUGAAACAAAAGAUGUAGAAUAUCAUGAUACACCAAUAGAGGAAAACGUCAAAAUAAAAAGGAAAACAAACAGGAAAGAACAAAAUCCUUUUUCGAUUGUUCAAGGAAACUCUUCAAUUAAUGAAACUGGGAAUAAUACAAUAUGGUAACUAUAGACCAGGUGGAUAUGGUAAAGAAAGUGUCCGAGACGAGAAUCAUGAAGAUGACAGCGAAAAUAAAGACGAAGAAGCCAUAGAAGUCAACGUGUCAGACGAAUCGGAUAGUGGAGAAUCUACUAAUUCGGAUACAGAGCAUAAUCCCGUACGUAAUAUCAAGAACAUCCGACGGCAGCGUGUGCGAGAUACACGGAUUUGCGACGAAAGUAUCUCGAGCAGAGGAAACAACCGAACAACGGAAGUACGGGAUAGAGUAGCUGAUCAAGCCGGAAGACAAAUGGGUCAUAACCAAAGGUCACCAACAGAAAACAUGUUUAACAUCAAAGACGUAGAGAACAAUAUUGUACACAGGAAAUUACAGUAUUUCAAACUUUAGAAUGCAAUUUAAAAAAAAAAUGAGUGUUUAAUAAUUUAUAAAACAUUGUCCAAGCAAAAAAUUAAAAAAAUUCUCUCGUUAGAUUAUAGAGAACAUAAUUAUCAAGAGUUAGAAAAAACAAGUUAAAAAAUAUUGAAAAUUGAUUGAGUUAUCAUGCCAACACUGUCUAAAAAUGUAGUUUCGAGAAAAACGCGUUUAAAGUUUCUGGUAGGUACAACGUGAACUUACGGCUAGUCUCCCAUUCCAGCUUCGUACUGUAUACCUUCUUCCUCUUGUAUCUUCGUGUUUUUAAUAGUUUUCUGCAAUCUCUUGUCAAUUCUAUCUUCUUUUGUGGAUUGAAUUGAUUGCAUCCUGGCGUAUUUCAAACGGUUAGCAUUUUCUUUCGAGAGGGGUACGGCAGUUAGUCAGGCUGAGCGAACCCGACGUCCGGUCACAUUUAUUGCUAUAACUUUGUAACGGAGUAGAGUUUUCUUAUAAUGUUUUUUUUUUUUAAAUGUCAGGGGUAUGUGAGCCCUUAAUUAGAACAAUUUACAAAAAUGUAUAUACGGAAAAAAGAUGCUGAAAGGUUCGGCAAAGCAGUUCAUAACAUAUAAAAAGAGGGUUUUAUCAUGGACUGUAUUAAAACGUGAUUAAGACACGAGUUCAAAACAGAACUCAAAACCGCAAUAAUACAUGCUAAGUUUAUGAAGUGCAAACGAAAAGCUGAAGAGAAUUGUCGACAAUGUGACAUAUGUAUAUGUAUGCUAUACAAGAAAUUUCCAGCUAAGGAAGUAUUAAUGAAGGCGCACUGAUGCAACACGGUAGACGGGAUUCAAGACAAUGAAGCAAAUAAAGUUAUACUAUACGGGGCUGAUACAUUGAGCGAUUUAAAAAAUAAAAUGGACGCUUAUGAUCGUAUAAAAAGCGCGUGAAAAAGAAUCGAUUCUUAAAAGAAAAAAAGAAAUAUCGAAAGAUAUGAAAAAUGGUAAACUAACAAUCAAGAAAAAAUACUGUUACUCAUGUGGUUCAACCGAACACGACAUCAAGAAGUAUUCAGUUAAAGAAAAGGAACCGAACUGGUUUUAAUACAACACGUUCGGGCACAUUGCAUCAAAAUGCCCCUCAAAAUUGUCUUUCAAUAGUAAAGCAAACGUUUCAUGCAUUACGAUUUCACGUUUAUCCUAGCUGAAGGAAGGAAUCAGACCAAGGGCAGGGAUUAAUAUCCGCCUGUGGCUGUUCUGAGGAAAGGUCCCUUGCAGCAGAAGAUCAGUGAUUAAUAUUCGGUCAGUAUACGCUAGAGCCUAUCGGAAGUGCACUUUACGUUUGAUUAUAGCGGUUAUCAGGUCACAAAUGGGGAUUAAUACCUAUUCGAGCCGUCAAGGAAAAAUUCAGAGGUCCACCGUAGAGAAGAAUAGAUACCCUCUCCUGAUAGCUUCUGUGAGGUAAUAAUUGCAGGUGACAGCUUAGGUGUGGGAUUAGUGAAUUCCGUACAGUACUGCCAACAAAUCGUUUCUGUAGCUGGAUUAAUACCGCUGUGUCCCUUAUUUUGGAUCAGGAGGGCUUUCCUGAAAUUAUUAAGUUUAUUAUACAUUUUAAGAGUUUAAUCGAAGCGGUGUGACGGAUUGGACCACUAGGACGGAUUGGACUAAGUUCUGUACCUCGAUAGCUUUGGGAUUGGGAAAUUCGAUAACACAAUCAAUUGGUACAAAUAGCUGAGACAAGUAGAAAUACAAAUAUGGUGUGGUUCUCCGAUAAUUACACGUGUUUCGACCGACAAUACCGUUGAAAAUUUUCCAAGAAGAAUCUUAGAAAAAGCUUCCAAAAAGAAUAUGGAAAAAUCACAUAAGAAUUUGGAAGAAAAGCCAGUACCAGAUGGACUUGCCGAAAUAUGCUGUAUCAAAUGUGUCGAACCUGAAAACCCGAUGAUUCAUGCACCGUUUAAGGAGAAGAUCCAACAAUUGAUAUGAAGCUAUAAAACAAGAAACGAUGUGGUGACUCCAAUUGAAACAAAAAUUAGACUGAAAUCAAAUUAGGUGGUUGCACAUAAUUUACACCGGCUUAUUCCAAGAGAGAAAGAAAUUACGAGUAAAAAUAUUCAAGGACGGACAACAUCUGAAAUUAUUCAACCAAGCUCUAGUCAAUAUGAUAGUUGAGUGGUUGUUACACCAAACAAAGACGAAGCGUACAGAAUUUGUAUCGCUUUUCGACAAUUAAUCCGUCGAAUCGAACGAGACCGAUUUCCAAUUCCACUAUAGAAGACUGCCCUGAAGAAUGCUCGAAUAUACUCGACAAUCAAUCUGAAGAUUGGUUUCUUUCAUGUACCCGUUGCUCAAGACAAUUAAUUACUCGAAGACCUAACCAAGUGAAAAAUUAUAAUAACAUAUGGAUAAUAUCACUAUUUCUGGAAAAAAAAUGAAGAAACAUCCACAAGGAUUGCAGAGACCUUGUAUGUAGUAGCUCAAAAUGGGUUAGUGAUUAACUGGAAAAAGUGUUAAUUCUUGAAAAACGUGUAGAAUAUUUGGGAUAUAUGUAUAUUAGAAAAUGGAUGUGAUUCAUCUUCUCCAGUAAAGCUUAAAGCAGUGUUACGUAGGCCGUAGUCGCUAGCAAGGCUUUUAAAUUUGAUAACAAAAAUUUAGAAGUAACC